rnacentral:rRNA from 1 species
UACAGAGGUCCCAAGCGUUGUUCGGAUUCACUGGGCGUAAAGGGUGCGUAGGUGGUGAGGUAAGUCGGAUGUGAAAUCUCCGAGCUCAACUCGGAAAUGGCAUUGGAAACUACCUUGCUCGAGGGUUGGAGGGGGGACUGGAAUUCUCGGUGUAGCAGUGAAAUGCGUAGAUAUCGGGAGGAACACCAGUGGCGAAGGCGACUACCUGGCCUGUUCUUGACGCUGAGGCGCGAAAGCUAGGGGAGCAAACGGG